rnacentral:misc_RNA from 1 species
GAUGAAGAACGUAGCGAAAUGCGAUAAGUAAUGUGAAUUGCAGAAUUCAGUGAAUCAUCGAAUCUUUGAACGCACAUUGCGCCCUCUGGUAUUCCGGGGGGCAUGCCUGUUCGAGCGUCAUUAUAACCACUCAAGCUCUCGCUUGGUAUUGGGGUUCGCGGUUCCGCGGCCCCUAAAAUCAGUGGCGGUGCCUGUCGGCUCUACGCGUAGUAAUACUCCUCGCGAUUGAGUCCGGUAGGUCUACUUGCCAGCAACCCCCAAUUUUUACAGGUUGACCUCGGAUCAGGUAGGGAUGCCCGCUGAACUUAAGCAUAUCAAUAAGCGGAGGA